rnacentral:rRNA from 1 species
UUGACGGGGCCCGCACAAGCGGUGGAGCAUGUGGUUAAUUCGAUGCAACGCGAAGAACCUUACCUGGGCUUGACAUCCCAAGAAUCCCCUGGAAACAGGGAGUGCCCUUCGGGGAGCUUUGGAGACAGGUGCUGCAUGGCUGUCGUCAGCUCGUGUCGUGAGAUGUUGGGUUAAGUCCCGCAACGAGCGCAACCCUUGCCUUUAGUUGCCAUCAUUCAGUUGGGCACUCUAGCGAGACUGCCGGUAAUAAACCGGAGGAAGGUGGGGAUGACGUCAAAUCAUCAUGCCCCUUAUGACCUGGGCUACACACGUGCUACAAUGGUUGGUACAACGAGUUGCGAGUCGGUGACGGCGAGCUAAUCUCUUAAAGCCAAUCUCAGUUCGGAUUGUAGGCUGCAACCCGCCUACAUGAAGUCGGAAUCGCUAGUAAUCGCGGAUCAGCGCGCCGCGGUGAAUACGUUCCCGGGCCUU